UACGUAGGGGGCAAGCGUUGUCCGGAUUUAUUGGGCGUAAAGAGCGUGUAGGCGGUUUGGUAGGUCCGCUGUGAAAACUCGAGGCUCAACCUCGAGACGCCGGUGGAAACCAUCAGGCUAGAGUCCGGAAGAGGAGAGUGGAAUUCCUGGUGUAGCGGUGAAAUGCGCAGAUAUCAGGAAGAACACCCGUGGCUAAGGCGGCUCUCUAGUACGGUACUGACGCUGAGACGCGAAAGCGUGGGGAGCAAACAGG
rnacentral:rRNA from 1 species